rnacentral:rRNA from 1 species
AAAUUGAAGAGUUUGAUCAUGGCUCAGAUUGAACGCUGGCGGCAGGCCUAACACAUGCAAGUCGAGCGGAAACGACAACAUUGAAUCUUCGGAGGAUUUGUUGGGCGUCGAGCGGCGGACGGGUGAGUAAUGCCUAGGAAAUUGCCUUGAUGUGGGGGAUAACCAUUGGAAACGAUGGCUAAUACCGCAUAAUGCCUACGGGCCAAAGAGGGGGAUCUUCGGACCUCUCGCGUCAAGAUAUG